rnacentral:misc_RNA from 1 species
GUACAUUAGUGCUUGUGCAUGACAGUAGUUUUCAUUACAUUCGAGUUUAUGUGUAAAAUCCUCCAUCAGCUGAAGCCAACAAGAGGCCAAAGGUGCACAGGGUAAUGGAUGAAAGUCACCAACGUGCACUUGCUCGGGAGCCAGCACCGAAGGCAACGAUUCACAAUCACUAAUGAUCCUUCUGCAGGUUCACCUACGGAAA